rnacentral:rRNA from 1 species
UACGGGGGGGGCAAGCGUUGUUCGGAAUUACUGGGCGUAAAGGGCUCGUAGGCGGCCAACUAAGUCAGACGUGAAAUCCCUCGGCUUAACCGGGGAACUGCGUCUGAUACUGGAUGGCUUGAGUUUGGGAGAGGGAUGCGGAAUUCCAGGUGUAGCGGUGAAAUGCGUAGAUAUCUGGAGGAACACCGGUGGCGAAGGCGGCAUCCUGGACCGAUAUUGACGCUGAGGAGCGAAAGCGUGGGGAGCAAACAGG